ACAAAAAAAAAGACUUUUAUGGCAACGCUACCAUGUUGCACUGCCUUGCUUUUGGAAAACCACAUCAGUGUCUGACUUUCGGCUGUCACAGAUGCGCCUCCCUUCACCUCGACUGUCGUGCACAGUCGGUGUAACAGCGCCACAUGGUGCAAAACCCGGCAGCUGCAGGUUAAGGACAGUCGUCUUACGCUCUCGGGCACGGCUUGGCACUGAUGCGUCAGCGUCUAUGGAGCAUUCGCCUGGGCUUCCAGGAGUGACAGCUUGCCAUACCCCUGCUUUCUAGGAGCAGCAUCUAUCCGGAGAUACAACACCGCUUUUCCAUACACGGGUUCCUGUUUGUUCUGGUGUAUUUUGAAGACGCAGUGAAACCGCUACUGCCAAGCUGUUAGCAGAUGUGAAGAGCUGGGACUUGGAGCCGCAGUAGAAAACGCCUGAAGGUAGAAGAGCACCGAACAAGGAUUAUCUGGGUGGAAACCGCCGACCUGCGAGUUGGGGAUCUUCGUGUGUGAGGAUGUCAGUGUUUUCGCCUCGCUGACCGCAAUGUGCUUCUCUGGGUAGCCCCCGGGCAGCGUUCCUCCUCUCUGAAAUCGCCACCUCCUCUUCCCCUCCCCCUCCCCUAUCCUUCCUCCUCUCCCCCUAUCCCUCCCCCAUCUCAUUUAGUCCCACCAACCACCAGCUGCUCCAUGGAUCCCCUGUGUCCGAGUAAUGGUGUGAGCCGGACACAGGCCCGCACCUCCGGCCAACUGUAGCCCCCCACCCCAGCCCCCCUCGGUCCCAUUAUUUUUUUAUUUUUUUGUACUGGCUUAUUUUUUCUCACAAUCCCUGGAGUUUAUUCUUGUUUGGAACCAGGGAUGGAUGUACCAUUGGAGGCCAGCAAGCAUGGCAAGAAGACGACCAGUCAAAAGCUGGAAGACCAGAAGAAGUUCUGUUUCUCUGGAGCAGCGCAUUGCUGUCUCGCCACACAGACAAGCUUCUGUUGUGUUUGGUUGUUCACGCCAGAGAUAUGUAUACAGAGAGAGGAAGACCUCUCUCCUCAGACACACCAUCUCCAGGGAGGCCAGCUUGAAGAGCCAGUUAUACUCCUCAGGUGGGUGGAUGGGAACAACCGGCUGUGUUUCAUCUCAACUUGUGCUAGCUAAUGCAUUCUGACUGCCUCGGGGUACAAGUCUGAGAUGCAUUACAUUGAUACACUACUAACCUGUAGACAUUUUCACUCUUCAGAUGUCUGUUGGGAAUCCAUUAGAGGGCAAAUGCUCUUUUUGUCUGGCAUCCACUAACGUCAGGGACUCCACUGGUGACUGGAGCUGGACACUGGUGUGAAUAGAAUUUCCUAACCGUCUGGACAUGCAGCAGGUGCACAGAGCCUCGGCUUUUUGAGUGAAAGGUGUUUUGAUCGCACCUCCUCCUCCCCAAGCUGUUACCGUAUACGGCUCCCGUACCCAAGAGAUCGCCAUAGAGACCCCAUCGCUUCUCUUACCGUCCCCGUCGAUCCUCCCCUCCUAAUGCACAUGUUACCUGGUGGGUGUGUUACAGGCGGAGAUGUAAUGAGCUCACUCGGGGGAACCAAUGAGUGAGUUUGAAAGGCGGGAGGCUGCUUAAUAAUUCAUGGCGAUGCUUGCAUAUUAGAUUCUGAACAAUUGAAAUGGCAGACGUGUGUGGAGCCGUGCUGUAGGUAGGUUAAGUGACCUUGUGGGUUUGGAGAGGGUGAACGGCUUCCUGCUUGCAGUGUGGAAGGGGUCGUGUUCCUCUAGGGCUGCGGUGAUAUGAUAGUGGGUGAUGUAUAGUGGCUAUUACCUUUUCUGGCAUCCGCGUGUGGAUCUUGCCACUGAAACCCGGCAGCAUUUGAUCAAAGGUGGGUAGAAUUUAUGAAGUCGUGUGCGCAAGGUCGUCAAGGGUUCCUCCACUAGGCUGUGGCGUGCUGAUGACAAGCCCAAUCAAGGAUGUGAUUAUUAAAUACAGACACUAACAACCUUGGAGCGUGUGCAUGUCCUCCUUUUGUAUCUCCUGAGCCACAUGCUUGAACCCAACUGAACUCACAGCCUUAGAUCACUUCCAUGAUGGUGUUUGUUUGGGUUGUCUUGAAUCACAGGUUCCAGAGGAAACACUCUGAUUGCUGAUGACCUGUCCUUCCCACCAUCCUGCUGACCAGAUGCAGCAGGAAACCGACCACAGAGCCCAAGUCACCAGGAAAUCAAAUAAAGUACUAACUGCAGUAUUUGUUUGUCUUUGAUGUGCCUGUGACGAAUGCAGAAUAUGAGCUGAGCGGAAAAGGCUGAUUUUAGCUGUGAAUAAAAACACCUGUAUUGGGAACAUGGUGAAGUUAUAUGUCACUGAAGUGUGAGGCGGAGAGCUGACAAGCAGGUGGGAUGAGGUUAUUAACCCCUAUUGUCCAUACACCAGGUGGGAUGAGGUUAUUAACCCCUAUUGUCCAUACACUAGGGGGGAUGAGGUUAUUAACCCCUAUUGUCCAUACACUAGGGGGGAUGAGGUUAUUAACCCCUGUUGUCCAUACACCAGAUGGGAUGAGGUUAGCCCUAUGGUUCAUACACCAGAUGGGAUGAGGUUAGCCCUAUGGUUCAUACACCAGGUGGGAUGAGGUUAGCCCUAUGGUUCAUACACCAGAUGGGAUGAGGUUAGCCUUAUAGUUCAUACACCAGAUGGGAUGAGGUUAACCCUAUAGUUCAUACACCAGAUGGGAUGAGGUUAGCUCUAUAGUUCAUACACCAGAUGGGAUGAGGUUAGCCCUAUAGUUCAUACACCAGAUGGGAUGAGGUUAGCCCUGUAGUGCAUACACUGGAUGGGAUGAGGUUAGCCCUAUAGUGCAUACACUGGAUGGGAUGAGGUUAGCCCUAUAGUUCAUACACCAGAUGGGAUGAGGUUAGCCCUAUAGUGCAUACACUGGAUGGGAUGAGGUUAACCCUAUAGUUCAUACACCAGAUGGGAUGAGGUUAGCCCUAUAGUUCAUACACCAAAUGGGAUGAGGUUAGCCCUAUGGUUCAUACACCAGAUGGGUUGAGUUUAGCCCUGUAGUUCAUAUACAGAACCAGAUGGACUGCUCUCCUACACACUUUGUGUUUCUUAUUAAAACAAUGGCCACUAAGUGUGUAUAUGUGUUUACACACUAAGUGUUGAUAUGCCUCUUCUGCAUAUAAAACAGUUUCUUAUAGU
ensembl:lncRNA